UUUGGUGUGCAUGCGAAGUAGAGGGUCAGUACAUCCAGGCCUCCGUGAAGAUUUACAUCAGAUAGUUUGGGAUUUGAUCUUUGGUUCUACUAUGAUUCAGAUAAGGAUUUGAUCCUUAAAUAAGUAGAAUAUUAAAAAAAAAAUUAGAUGCAACCUGGACAUUCUAGAGGGAAACUGUUCCCUUUCUUUCACUAAUUUGAUUUUGGUUAGGAAUCCAAUUGCUCCUCUAUUUAAGAGGUCCUUUCCUAAGU
rnacentral:lncRNA from 1 species